rnacentral:misc_RNA from 1 species
GUGACUUCAAAGCCCCAAACAGAAAAAAAAUCUCUUCACACAUGAAAUCAAAAUUUUCAGAAAAUUAGUAAUAAAUUCACUAAAGUUUAAUUUAUCUAUGAAUUUCUUCAUCUCCGUCUGAAUUUCUCGCCGGAAAAAAUGUUGAGGUCGCCGCAGGAACCGAACCGGAACGGCGGUAUUAGAACUCCGUCUCCCCGGUCGAGAAAUCAAUCUCAGUUUCACUCAACCGUUUCCGUUCAAAAAAACCGGCGGUUCAACAUUUUGAUACUCAUUUUCCGGUUCGCCGCCUUCUGCUUCUCACUCGCCUCUGCAAUUUUCAUGUUCGCUAACUCUCACGGCGGUGGCUCUGAUUCCGAUUCCGAUUCUCUUCGGUGGUACCACUUCGAUGCGUUCAGAUUUGUGGCUAUUGCAGCUGGGAUUGUAGCGUUGUAUUCACUAUUCGAAAUUGGAGCUUCGGUUUGGGAAAUAUCAAGAGGCACCACUGUUCUUCCUGAAAUUGUACAAGUUUGGUUCGAUUUCAGUCACGAUCAGGUUUUUGCAUACAUGUUGUUAUCGGCAGAUUCGGCGGGAACAGCGUUAGCUCGGACGUUAAAGGACAGGGACACGUGUACGGCUAAUAAUGCAUUUUGUGUUCAAUCAGAUAUCUCCGUGGCCUUAGGAUUCGCCGGAUUUAUGUUCUUGAGUUUUUCUUCUUUAUUAUCGGGUUUUCGGGUUGUAUGUUUCGUACUUAACGGGUCUCGUUUUCAUAUGUAAUAUUCAUUCAUCACUAUGUUGUAAACUUUACUCAUAAAUUUUUAUUAUAGUCUUGUAUCGUAUCUGACUAAGCAUAUUAAAUCUCUA